rnacentral:rRNA from 1 species
GAUGAACGCUGGCGGCGUGCCUAAUACAUGCCAGUCGAGCGAACGGACGAGAAGCUUGCUCCUCUGACGUUAGCGGCGGACGGGUGAGUAACACGUGGAUAACCUACCUAUAAGACUGGGAUAACUUCGGGAAACCGGAGCUAAUACCGGAUGAUAUUUUGAACCGCAUGGUUCAAUAGUGAAAGACGGUUUUGCUGUCACUUAUAGAUGGAUCCGCGCUGCAUUAGCUAGUUGGUAAGGUAACGGCUUACCAAGGCAACGAUGCGUAGCCGACCUGAGAGGGUGAUCGGCCACACUGGAACUGAGACACGGUCCAGACUCCUACGGGAGGCAGCAGUAGGGAAUCUUCCGCAAUGGGCGAAAGCCUGACGGAGCAACGCCGCGUGAGUGAUGAAGGUCUUCGGAUCGUAAAACUCUGUUAUUAGGGAAGAACAUAUGUGUAAGUAACUGUGCACAUCUUGACGGUACCUAAUCAGAAAGCCACGGCUAACUACGUG